rnacentral:rRNA from 1 species
UGGGGGAUAACGCACCGAAAGGUUAGCUAAUACCGCAUACGCCCUGAGGGGGAAAGCUGGGGAUCUUCGGACCUAGCCGUUAAUGGAGCCGGCCGAAUACCCUGAUUAGCCUAGUUGGUGGGGUAAAAGCCUACCAAGGCAACGAUCAGUAGCUGGUCUGAGAGGACGACCAGCCACACUGGGACUGAGACACGGGCCCAGAACUCCUACGGGAGGCAGCAGUGGGGGAAUUUGGGACAAUGGGGGCAACCCUGAUCCAGCCAUUCCGCGUGAAGUGAAGAAGGCCUUCGGGUGGUAAAGCUCUUUCGCAAGGGAAGAAACGAUAUAGGUUAAUAGCUUAUGUAAUGACGGUACCUGAACAGAAGCACCGGCUAACUACGUGCCAGCAGCCGCGGUAAUACGUAGGGUGCAGCGUUAAUCGGAAUACUGGGCGUAAGCGUGCGCAGGCUGUUUUGUAGUCAGAUGUGAAAUCCCCGAGCUCAACUUGGGGAACUGCGCUUGAAACUACAAGACUAGAAUAGGUCAGAGGGGGGUAGAAUUCCAUGUGUAGCAGUGAAAUGCGUAAGAUGUGAGGAAUACCAACGGCGAAGGCAGCCCCUGGGAUCAUAUUGACGCUGACGGACGAAAGCGUGGGGAGCAAACAGGAUUAGAUACCCUGGUAGUCCACGCCCUAAACGAUGUCAACUAGUUGUUGGUGGAGUAAAAUCACUGAGUAACGCACGUAACGCGUGAAGUUGACCGCCUGGGGAGUACGGUCGCAAGAUUAAAACUCAAAUGAAUUGACGGGGGCCCGCACAAGCGGUGGAUUAUGUGGAUUAAUUCGAUGCAACGCGAAAAACCUUACCUGGCCUUGACAUGUACGGAACUUUCUAGAGAUAGAUUGGUGCCUUCGGGAACCGUAACACAGGUGCUGACUGGCUGUCGUCAGCUCGUGUCGUGAGAUGUUGGGUUAAGUCCCGCAACGAGGCGCAACCCUUGCCAAUAAUUGCCAUCAUUUAGUUGGGCACUUUAUUGGGACUGCCGGUGACAAACCGGAGGAAGGUGGGGAUGACGUCAAGUCCUCAUGGCCCUUAUGGCCGGGGCUUCACACGUAAUACAAUCGCG